rnacentral:tRNA from 1 species
GAGGGUAUAGCUCAAGUAGUACAGAGCAUGCUUAGCAUGCAUGAGGUCCUGGGUUCAAUCCCCAGUACCUCCU